AUUGAACGCUGGCGGCAUGCUUUACACAUGCAAGUCGAACGGCAACGAGGAGAAGCUUGCUUCUCUGUCGGCGAGUGGCGCACGGGUGAGUAUAGCAUCGGAACGUGCCAAGUAGUGGGGGAUAACCAAACGAAAGUUUGGCUAAUACCGCGUAAGCUCCAAGGAGGAAAGUAGGGGACCUAAAUAAGGCCUUCCGCUAUUUGAUCGGCCGAUGUCGGAUUAGCUAGUUGGUGGGGUAAUGGCUCACCAAGGCAAUGAUCCGUAGCGGGUCUGAGAGGACGAUCCGCCACACUGGGACUGAGACACGGCCCAGACUCCUACGGGAGGCAGCAGUGGGGAAUUUUGGACAAUGGGGGAAACCCUGAUCCAGCCAUGCCGCGUGUAUGAAGAAGGCCUUAGGGUUGUAAAGUACUUUUGUUAGGGAAGAAAAGCUAGUUUUUAAUAAAAAUUAGUGAUGACGGUACCUAAAGAAUAAGCACCGGCUAACUACGUG
rnacentral:rRNA from 1 species